rnacentral:rRNA from 1 species
UACGUAGGGGGCAAGCGUUGUCCGGAUUCAUUGGGCGUAAAGAGCGUGUAGGCGGCCAGGUAGGUCGGUUGUGAAAACUGGAGGCUCAACCUUCAGAGGUCGACCGAAACCAUCUGGCUAGAGUCCGGGAGAGGAGAGUGGAAUCCGUGGUGUAGCGGUGGAAUGCGCAGAUAUCAGGAGGAACACCAAUGGCGAAGGCAGCUCGCUGGGACGGUACUGACGCUGAGGCGCGAAAGCGUGGGGAGCAAACAGG